UCCUCAGCGAGAAUCCGAAGCUCAGAUUUGAGGAUGAGACAGAUCCUGGGACCACGGAGAAGUGAAAAUCUUCCGAGCAGGCGAAUCUUGCUGUGUUGCCCAGGCAGGAAUGCAGUGGUGCAAUCACGGCUCACUGCAGCCUCUACCUCCUAGGCUCAAGCAAUCCUCAGCCUCCUGAGAGUAGCUGGGACUACAGGUAUGUGUCACCACACCCAGCUAAUUUUUUCAUUUUGUUGUAGAGAUAAGGUCUUGCUUAAAAUACCUUUAUAAGCCAGGCACAAAAACACAUACUUUGCAUGUUCUCAUUUGUGGGAGCUAAAAAUUAAAACAAUUGAACAACUCAUGGAGCUAGAGAGUAGAACCAUGGUAUGAGAGGUUAGGAAGGAUAGUGGGGAGGGUAGUGGGGUUAAUGAGUAUAACAAUAUACUUGGAUAGAAUGGAUAAGAUCUAGCAUUUGAUAGUACAACAGGGUAACUACAGUCAACAAUAAU
rnacentral:lncRNA from 1 species